UGAACGAACUGAGUUGUGGCACUCUAGGUGGGAGGAGCAGCUAUGUGGGGGCUGAACCACCACUCAGUGGAUCCUACAGGUUGCUGUGCUCCACAGGCAGGGGCACUUUCUGAGUUGCAGGACACCUUCUUGCCUAUGCUGUGCUGGGAGCAAGUGACCCCCUCAUGGGGGCUGAGAUGUCACUCAGUGGAUCCUGCGGGCUGCUGUGCUCCACAGAAACGAUUGAGUUUUAGCUGGGUACAUGGCUCCCCAGCCUCCCUUGGAGCUCCCUGUGGCCUCAUUACUACAUUCUGGCUAAUUGGAGGUGAGGGGAAUGAUAUGUGCAACUUCUAGGUUGUGUCCUUAAAGGGGACAUUCUUGUGCUCCACGUCCUCCUUUGUCCUUCUUUUGGGCUGGAAUGUCGGGAUGAGAGCCAGCUUCCACGUGGAAGAAAACAACUCCCUGGGGACGGCAGAGAAACAUCAGACUGGACUUCUGGUCAACUUUUGGAAGCAAAGCCAACUACCUCCCAAACUGGCCAGCAGCUUGGACUUUAACAUCUGAAAUAAAUGUCUUCUGUGUUGUUUGAGUCAAUAUAUUAAUGAUUUGUGACUCUUUGUUACAGCAGCUCAGCAUCAAUAUCCUAACUAAUCCAGAUGACUAUCUCUAGGCUUCAUCUCCUUCCCUUGGCUUCAAGUCUCCUCA